AACGAACGCUGGCGGCAGGCCUAACACAUGCAAGUCGAACGCCCUAGCAAUAGGGAGUGGCGCACGGGUGCGUAACGCGUGGGAAUAUGCCCUUCACUGCGGAAUAACGUUUGGAAACGAACGCUAAUACCGCAUAAUGACUCCGGUCCAAAGAUUUAUCGGUGAAGGAUUAGCCCGCGUUAGAUUAGCUAGUUGGUGAGGUAAUGGCUCACCAAGGCGACGAUCUAUAGCUGGUCUGAGAGGAUGAUCAGCCACACUGGG
rnacentral:rRNA from 1 species